UAGAGUUGAUCCUGGCUCAGAUUGAACGCUGGCGGUAUGCUUUACACAUGCAAGUCGAACGGAUUAAGAAGCUUGCUUCUCAGUUAGUGGCGAACGGGUGAGUAAUACAUCGGAACGUGUCCUGGAGUGGGGGAUAGCCCGGCGAAAGCCGGAUUAAUACCGCAUAUGCCCUGAGGGGGAAAGGGGGGGAUCGCAAGACCUCUCGCUUUCGGAGUGGCCGAUAUCGGAUUAGCUAGUAGGUGAGGUAAAGGCUCACCUAGGCGACGAUCCGUAGCGGGUCUGAGAGGACGACCCGCCACACUGGAACUGAGACACGGUCCAGACUCCUACGGGAGGCAGCAGUGGGGAAUUUUGGACAAUGGGCGAAAGCCUGAUCCAGCCAUACCGCGUGAGUGAAGAAGGCCUUCGGGUUGUAAAGCUCUUUCAGCCGGAAAGAAAUCGUAUCUAUUAAUACUAGAUGCGGAUGACGGUGCCGGAAGAAGAAGCACCGGCUAACUACGUGCCAGCAGCCGCGGUAA
rnacentral:rRNA from 1 species